GCGGCGCAUGCGCAUACACGUGUGCGGGCUGAGUCGCCGGGGCCUGGAGGGGGAACCGCGCGCUGCGGCUGCUGCGCUUGCUCCGUCCCCGGACGCCGCUGGCUUGCUUCCCUUGUCAGCUGUGUGGGGACUGGCAGAGGGUGUGAGAGCGGGAAACGACCGGACGAGCGGCGGGGAGCGUCCUGGGUGAGGAGGAGGAAGUCUGGUCUUAGGUGUGAAGGAUGCUGACGCGUUCCGGCGCGUCGCGGUGCCACUCUCGGCUUCUGAGCGUUGCCCUACGCCGCAGCGGGUUUUCCUCAGCUGUGAAGCGCGGCUGCGUCCUGCCCGGGCUUCCCCCCGCCGGGACGGUUCCAACGCCCGAGCCCAGCGGGCUUGGGCCUCCGCUGUCGGGCCAGGCUAGUUGCUCCGGGGCUGGGAGUUACGGCACCGGGGUUGGGGCGGAGAAGACGAACUAGUUCAACUCGACCCGGUUAAGCAAGCGCAGCAGUGUGUGUUCUUGGAUCAUAGUAUUUCAUGUAAACAUUUUGAUUUAAGAGAAACAAAAGGGAAAAUAUUAACCGUUUUCAAGCAUCCAAAGGCGAAAUGCUUCAUCUCUGGGAUGGAGUAGAGGAGUAGCCUCUGCGGUUGAGUUGCAGUCGUGGGUGCAAGAAGCAGCGCUGAAGCAGAGUGCAGCCCCGGAAUAGGGCGGGAUGGAAUGGCCUGGGCAGUUCAGAAACCCGCGAGGAGUCCAGGGCGGAACAGAGGGAAGAAGGCCAUUUGGAGAUAGAAGCAGGGAUUGGAGUGAUGCAACUGGAAGCCAAGAAACGCCGCAGAAUGCCAGGAGCCAGCAGAAGCUAAGAAAAGGCAAAGAAGGAUUAUUCCAAAGUGCCUUCCGAAGAAGGUUGGCCCUGCCAAAAACCUGAUUUCAGACUUCUAGCCCCCAAAACUGCAAGAGAAUAAAUUUUGUUGUUUCAAGACACACAGUUUGUGGUCCUUUGUCAUGACCACCCCAGGAAACUCAUAUAGGGAUCAAGGUGGAAAGGUUAUAAAUUCCGUCAGGCCAAAUUUAUUGAUAUGGACCCACCAGAGAUUCUGGAUUCAAUGUUUUAUCUCAGAGGCUUAGAAAAAGCUCUAAUGCUAUGUUUAAUCGCUGAGUAUGUCUUUUCCAAUUAUGCAUGUCAAACUAGGAAAAUAACCACAGGAUGGGUUUGGGGACCCACUGAGCCCACCGUGAGAAGGAUCUGAGUGAAAACUCCAUUGAUAGUUUAACCUCCAUCCACCCAGAAGGGCCUAUGCUAAAUGAAGUUGAAGCGACAGAACUGCCUAGGUAUCUGUAGAGAAAGGUAUCCACAGGCUUGGGGAGAUUGGAAUAUUAGAGUGGAUUUAUCAUUUAAGACCUGCUUACCCACCCCAGGAGGGUCCAGAAGACAUACCUUUCACCAUGACUAAGAAGUAAAUUUGUGAGGAGAAUCCUAGCAUCCUUGAAGAUAUCUGCGGCUGCUCUUCUCUUUAGUCACAUAUAUCUUACAGUGGAAACUGCUACCAUCAAACUAGGAUUCCUAAGUGUCCCCCCAGGGUGGCACUUAAUUGCCAAAAAGUAGGUGGGCAUGAUUACUAUAAUUACCAGCAGAGCUAAAACAAUAUUGUCUUACUUACAGAGACGUGUGCUGUUGGCUAGUUAAUCGUUGUGUCUCUAGGAAACAGAUAUCCUAACUUGCAUCACCAAAAUAGUCACAACCUCUCAAUCAAUUCCCAGACUUGGGCCGGUUUACACUCUCAGAACUCUGAAUGAAGGAGAGGCUGGAUCCUCUUGAGGAAGGAGUCUGCUACAUUGCCAAAAAUGUAUAUUGUUAUUUCCCCCGAAGAGACCAAUAGCCAUCUACCAGGGUAACUGUGCAUUGGGGGAAGAGAAAUAAUCAGAUUUGUCAGGGAUUACUACACAGUGGCUCUGACCUGAUACUAAUCUGGGGAAACCAAAAGCUUUACUCGGCCUACCAGUCAGAGUAGAGGCUUAAUGGAGGUCGAGUGAUCAAUGGAGUUUCAGCUCAGGUUCAUCUCUCAUUAGACCCGUUGAGUCCCUGGACCCAUCCUGUGCUAUUUCCCCAGUUCCAGAAUGCAUAAUUAAAAGAGAUAUACUUGGCCGGGCACGGUGGCUCAUACCUGUAUUACCAGCACUUUGGGAGGCCGAGGAGGGCAGAUCACAAAGUCAGUAGUUCAAGACCAGCCUGGCCAACAUGGUGAAACCCCGUUUCUACUAAAAAUACAACAACAACAACAAAAAAAAAUAGCUGGGCGUGGUGGC
rnacentral:lncRNA from 1 species